UGUGGCUUUUAAUCUUUUGAAAUAGUUGUGUGAUUUUAAAAUAUAACUCAAUGGAUCCCGAUGCUAUCUCGCGUGCUCUCUGUUGGAUUACUCUAGUGGUCGCCACGCUUAUGAAUGGGAUAAACGCGGAUAAAAGCACACAAAAGACAACCUUCAGCCCUGGAAGCAUUCACAGAUGGCAAAACUCUCUUUCUCACCAAACCAUUCAAUUCGGUUGAAGUCACUUUUCCAUGUCUUCAGUACUCACAAUGGGACACUUUGCAUGCACUCAGGGGCUGCAUCAUAGUCUGGCUGUCAGCUCACUUAGCCUUGCUUACGCACUCAAAGCAUGAGUAAUACCAUUUCCCCACGAGAGCACCACCACAUCACUUCAACGGAAUUUCCCCAUUUCAUUUCAUGUGAAAUAGAGGUGCAGUAUAGAAGGCCCUUGGAUCUACUUGUUCAGAUGCAAAACAUGACAUUUCAAGCAUAGGCAAACCUCCUUACUCACCCCAUCUCUAAGGUUCAGCCCUCUGUACAAAAUUUGAAUUUUGGAAUGGAGAUGUUGAUGAAUGUGUACCUUGUUCUUCAUGUAAACAGUACCCAAAAACCCCAUCAUGUGACACAUGCCCACCCAUAGAGCCUUCAGAUUCCUGGAGGGUGGCAG